rnacentral:rRNA from 1 species
AGCGAACGCUGGCGGCAGGCUUAACACAUGCAAGUCGAGCGGGCGCAGCAAUGCGUCAGCGGCAGACGGGAGAGUAACACGUGGGAACGCGCCCUUCGGUUCGGAAUAACUCAGGGAAACUUGAGCUAAUACCGGAUACGCCCUAACGGGGAAAGAUUUAUUGCCGAAGGAACGGCCCGCGUCUGAUUAGCUAGUUGGUGAGGUAAUGGCUCACCAAGGCGACGAUCAGUAGCUGGUCUGAGAGGAUGGCCAGCCUCACUGGGACUGAGACACGGCCCAGACUCCUACGGGAGGCAGCAGUGGGGAAUAUUGGACAAUGGGCGCAAGCCUGAUCCAGCCAUGCCGCGUGGAUGAUGAAGGCCCUAGGGUUGUAAAGUCCUUUUAACGGGGAAGAUAAUGACGGUACCCGUAGAAUAAGCCCCGGCUAACUUCGUGCCAGCCGCCGCGGUAAUAC